rnacentral:rRNA from 1 species
GAUGAACGCUGGCGGCGUGCCUAAUACAUGCAAGUCGAGCGAACAGACGAGGAGCUUGCUCCUCUGACGUUAGCGGCGGACGGGUGAGUAACACGUGGAUAACCUACCUAUAAGACUGGGAUAAAUUCGGGAAACCGGAGCUAAUACCGGAUAAUAUAUUGAACCGCAUGGUUCAAUAGUGAAAGACGGUUUUGCUGUCACUUAUAGAUGGAUCCGCGCCGCAUUAGCUAGUUGGUAAGGUAACGGCUUACCAAGGCAACGAUGCGUAGCCGACCUGAGAGGGUGAUCGGCCACACUGGAACUGAGACACGGUCCAGACGCCUACGGGAGGCAGCAGUAGGGAAUCUUCCGCAAUGGGCGAAAGCCUGACGGAGCAACGCCGCGUGAGUGAUGAAGGUCUUCGGAUCGUAAAACUCUGUUAUUAGGGAAGAACAAAUGUGUAAGUAACUAUGCACGUCUUGACGGUACCUAAUCAGAAAGCCACGGCUAACUACGUG